rnacentral:lncRNA from 10 species
GUUUAAAUAAAAGCAAAUCUGAAUAAAACCCAAGUUUUGGCUGGGUGCGGUGGCUCAUGCCUGCUUCUUGUUUUAAGCCACUCAGUUUUGGAAUACUUUGUUACACAGCUGAGGCUGACUGAUACGUGAGAGAAUCAGCAGGAAAAAAAAAAAAAAACAAGUUCAUUGAAGAUAUGAGGAACUGGGAUUUAUACAGCAAAAGGAAAAAGAAUGCUGAAAUAAGACUGCAAAAUUCAGUGUAAAACUGGUUAAUACCUAACCAGGCAAUAAAAAGUAACCUUUGGAGUUAUCUCAAAGACUCAU